UUGCAAAGAGAGGCACUGCUCACGUCCAGGCGCAAGGGUUUCUCCGGCGGCUCAGGUUCUCACAUCGAUGGGGUUGCGCCCAGAACCCUGGAUCAAUUCUCCGAUGACUUAUGUGCUGAUAAGUGAGAUGUAGCGGACGAUGGGGUGUAUUUGCUGGACUCAAGCCGAUCUCACAUCCGCCAAGGAAGUGCAGGCUACCGCGGAUUGGUGGUACAAUGAUUUAUGCUCCAUUCAUCAACUAUUAAAUUCAUCACUGAACCAGUACGAUUGGAGUGGUCUUUUCGGUUGCUUGGAAGAAAGCUCAGUAGUCUAACCACAAGAUUUGAAAUUUCAGUUUAUCCUCAGCUCAGCAAGUUUCUGAGACUGAUAAUCUCCGAGAGAUCUAUCACAGGCCCCUCUAUGCCCAAGCUUUUGGCCAGUUCCAACAAAGUUCUAAUUCAAGGAGAGAUGGCACACCCCAAAUUUGAGAAGAUUUGGAAAUCAGCAGUGAUUCAGAGAUACCAAAUUUUCUGUUAGUUUCUGAUCCAAGAUAGGCUCAACACAAGAAGUCUGCUUCUCUGCUUCUCCGGAAAUAAUUUCACCUCCCCUCCUACCAAUGUGCGCUAUGUACUGAGCAAAUUGAAGAGACCACAUUGCACCUCUUUUUGGACUGCUCAUUUGCUCUGCAAUGCUGGGACCUGAUCACCCCUAAUAAGAAGAGGGACACAUCUGUCAUUCAGGAAAUCAUGUUGGCUUUGAAUGAAUUACCAAAUGGAGCGGCCAUGAACAUUGUCAUUAUGAGUUGCUGGCAUAUUUUGAUGCAAAGGAACAACAACAACUUUAAUCAUAUUAAUCCGAUCACCACAUCAUGGAAGCUGCUACACAAGAAAGAUUUACAGUUGCUACAGCAUAGAACUAAGCACUAGCUCCUUCAAGUUUUUCAAGAUAGGAUCGCCACACGUUUGUAGGCUGAAAGAUCCUUCAGUUAGAAAUAUUUUCAAGAGCAGGCAUUGGUCAGAUUGGCUUGGCCAUCUCCUUUUCUUUUUGAUCCCUUUUGUACAUACACUUUUAAU